UACGGAGGGUGCGAGCGUUGUCCGGAAUCAUUGGGCGUAAAGGGCGCGUAGGUGGCCCCCUCAAGCGUGCGGUGAAAGUCAGGGGCUCAACCCCUGAUCGGCCGUGCGAACUGGGGAGCUUGAGCACUGUAGAGGCAGGCGGAAUUCCGGGUGUAGCGGUGGAAUGCGUAGAGAUCCGGAAGAACACCGGUGGCGAAGGCGGCCUGCUGGGCAGUUUUGCUGACACUGAGGCGCGACGAGCGUGGGGAGCAAACAGG
rnacentral:rRNA from 1 species